CGCUGCCUACGGGGGGCAGCAGUAAGGGAUAUUGGUCAAUGGGGGAAACCCUGAACCAGCAACGCCGCGUGAGGGAAGACGGUUUUCGGAUUGUAAACCUCUGUCCUCUGUGAAGAUGAUGACGGUAGCAGAGGAGGAAGCUCCGGCUAACUCCGUGCCAGCAGCCGCGGUAAUACGGAGGGUCCGAGCGUUAUCCGGAUUUAUUGGGUUUAAAGGGUGCGUAGGCGGUUUGGUAAGUUAGAGGUGAAAUGUCGGGGCUCAACCCCGAAACUGCCUUUAAUACUGUUUGGCUAGAGAAUCGGUGG
rnacentral:rRNA from 1 species